GUAGAUUGGGGCGGGGGUGAGGGGGUAAUAUGGAGGGUGGGAGGUGAAUUCGGGUUGGCGGGUGGAGAAGGGUGAGUAGGAGGGUUUUUACGUCGGAGGUGGAAUCCCCGAGAUGAAGUUGGGAAUUGCAUUCGAGACUGGGAAGAUAGAGUAUGGGAGAGGAUGGUAGAAGUCCAGGUGUAGCGGUGAAAUGCGUAGAGAUCUGGAGGAAUACCGAUGGCGAAGGCAGCCAUCUGGCCUAAUACUGACGCUGAGGUACGAAAGCAUGGGGAGCAAACAGGAUUAGAUACCCCAGUAGUC
rnacentral:rRNA from 1 species